ACUCCUACGGGAGGCAGCAGUGGGGAAUAUUGCACAAUGGGGGAAACCCUGAUGCAGCCAUGCCGCGUGUGUGAAGAAGGCCUUCGGUUGUAAAGCACUUUCAGUAGGGAGGAAGGUAGUGUAGUUAACACCUGCACUAUUUGACGUUACCUACAGAAGAAGCACCGGCUAACUCCGUGCCAGCAGCCGCGGUAAUACGGAGGGUGCGAGCGUUAAUCGGAAUUACUGGGCGUAAAGCGCAUGCAGGCGGCCUGUUAAGUCAGAUGUGAAAGCCCGGGGCUUAACCUCGGAAUUGCAUUUGAAACUGGCAGGCUAGAGUCUUGUAGAGGGGUUAGAAUUUCAGGUGUAGCGGUGAAAUGCGUAGAGAUCUGAAGGAAUACCAGUGGCGAAGGCGGCCCCUGGACAAAGACUGACGCUCAGAUGCGAAAGCGUGGGAGCAAACAGGAUUAGAUACCCCGUGGUAGACUGUCA
rnacentral:rRNA from 1 species